rnacentral:lncRNA from 1 species
UUUAGAAACAUCAGAAUACCGCAAAUUAUGUCAACAUAUGUCACAUAAUAAUGCAGCUAUUUUAAAAGGUAUGUCAUUCAAAUGUGUACAUUUUAAAUAUUCAAAUCAUAUCUGAAAUAUGAAUUAAACUGGAAAACAUUAGCAUCGAGGAGUGGAAUCGAUAAGCUUGGUAUAACCCCGGAAUAUUUUAUUAUUUUUUCAGUUAUCUUUAAGGGGCUCGCGGGUCUAAAUCAAAUUUUUUUAUUUAAUAUAGGAUUUCUCUAUAUUUUCUAUAAAUAAACUUUAUCUUAUACUUAAUAGAAAAAUGAAAUAAAAAAAUGGGGUCACCGUUCAUUUACGCUCACAAUCUGCCUUCGAAAGAAGCAUACAUUUUUGUUAAUGUCCUUUUUUUUUGUUGAACUAAAAAUAGAAAUAGCGGUAAUAUCGAAAUAAAAAAAGAACUAAAUUACAGACAUCGCUUAAAUUUUACAAUCAUUUAGUUUAUGUACAGCUUAUUCGAAAACAAUAACAAAAAAUAUAGGUCAUCGAUGAGUUAAAAAAAAAGAUAUUUCAAUUUUAAUGCAAAAAAAAUGGCUUUUUUGCACCAAAGGCGCCAAUAAUUUGGAUAUUUUUCAAUGAUAUCUACAUUUUAAAAGUCACCUGGGGCCAACACGAAUUGUUUUUUUUUGGAAUGAUUUUUGUACCAUAUGAUAAAGUAACAACUGCUAAAGGUAAUAAAUAAAACUUGUAAUGAAAAUUUAAUGUUUAAUUUUUUUUUUGAAAAUCUUAUACCCGCGAGCCACCUUAAUAUUGACGAUUUCAUUAUUUUCCGAAUCUACAAAAGUAUAUAGAUAUUGAACUGACAUACCACAUUGUAUCCGAACCGAUUAAAUGGUUUGUCAACAAGUAAUAGAUAAAUCGGUAUAAUCUUUAUGAACGUCAUAGAUUUGAUUUAUUAUCUGGUGUUAAUAUUAAUGUCACUAUUUGCAGGUAAAGUAAGGGUUCUUGUAAUUUAAUUCUGAAUUGCAUAUUAACUGAAUGACUGAGAAAAAUUAAUAAUAAAAAAAUAAAUCAUCCAGAAGUAUUUUUUUGUGAUACAUUUAAGUUAUCUCCACACAAUCAUCUAACCUUAAUCUAGGCACAUAAUCUAGGCUAAUAAUAGAUAUAGGAAGAUGUGGUAUGAGUGCCAAUGAGACAACUCUCCAUCAAAAUAACAAUUUAUAAGAGUAAACCAUUAUGUCUGAAAUAAACUGCAUUUGAAAUACUGAAGACAUUAGGGUAUCUUAAAACCGAAAGUUUUCAGGAGGUAGGCGACAUUAUUUUUUUUUAAUUCUUGCCAUCCAUAUAGAAUCAUUAUAACAAUUUUGAAUAAUAACCAACUCAAAUGUUCAUCAGAAUUACCACUAAUUCCAAUGAAAACAAAAACUAGUGCAAGCACCAGUAACACAUAUACUGAUCAAAUUUGCAUUUCAAUAAUGUUUGUCUCUUCAGUGAAGAUGGAGACCAAAAUAUACGAAUAUCAAAAUCCUAGAUCAAUCAUUGCAGAUUAUCUCAAACUACGUUAAGGUCGUACCCAACACCUUGACUAAAAUUAAAUUGGCUCGUUUAAUUUUCAUAACAUUUUGACAAAAUAUUUACUUUGACUCUUUGAAAAAGAUAUGAAAAUUAUAAAAAAAAAAAUGAACCAAUCACUUUCUCGGAAAAAUUGGUUAGAUAUGUGGCAGUCUGACAAAAACUAAUUUUGAUCAUUGAGUAGCUAGAUAUUUCCCAUAUAAUACAAGGUGAUGAAAAAAUUUAUGUGAUUUUACAGAGUUAUCUCCCUUUAGUGUUAUGUAACACCUUACGAAGGCCUUAAAAUAGCCAAAUUUGGGCAAAAAAAUCGGAGCUUUGCAUAAGGGUCAUUUCUAAAUUUAAAAUUAAUUUUGAAGUUUUGUUGCAUUUAAUUUUUAUCAAACAAUUUCUGUUUUGCUAUGCCAGAACUGUAUUUUCCCCUAUUUUAUUGAAUAACACGAAAAAAAGUUCGGUGACCCCAUUUUUUUCUUUUUCUUAUUUGAAAACAGAUUUUUAGAGUUAUCUUUUCAUGUUUAAUUUUUAAAUUCUAUGGUGAUAAUUUUUUUAUAUCACAAAAAUGGGUUUUCCAGGCAUAAUCUAUAUAAUAUUGGACAAUUUGACCUGUAGCAUGAACGAAAAGCCUGGUGACUCACACUUUUUAUUAUAUUUUUGAAAAAACAUGAUAUGAACUAUAAUACUUUGACAAAUCAUUAAAAAUUUCUAUGAAUCUAAUUUAUACUAAUCCGCCCCUACCUCCCUCUCCGCCCCUUCAUCAACCUUAAAGAUUAGAAAAAAACAUAAAAAAUGUAGUACAAGUUUAGAACUGAAAAUCUAUUACAAAUACAUCACUAAAUAGGCGUAAAUACCAAUUCAAUGUAAAGUCUAUGCAUACAAUUUAUUUUCGUUUUUUAACAUAACUUGAAGCAUCAUAGGAUUUGAAUAACAACAUAACCUAUCAACUAAGUUCCUAAUUUUAGAGAUGUCCCUAGAACGACGAAGUUUACCGAAGUAUCGAUAGGAGCUUCAUCCUGAUCAUUUACAUAAUGUAUUCUUAAGACAGUAUUAAGGCAUAGGGUAAUUGAGUACUACGAGUACUAUAUUUGGAGCAGGAUCUGUUUGCCCUUUCGAAGUACAUUACAGCACUUCUAAAUGUUUCUCAGUUUUUGGGUUUAAUGUUUUUUUUGUGUUCUGCUGUUUACGUUUUGGUUUUGCUGUGGCAGAGUAAUUUUUUUGGACUUUGACAGUUUGACAAUCCUUUUUGUAGCUAUCAUGGAUGUUUCAACAUGUAGGUUUUGUAGAACUUAUUAUAAUUUUCAGGUCCACCUGGAACUUGGAAAUCCCAGCAUGCAUUUAACUAUGCACACAGUCGUUCAAAUGAUACGGAGAAUGCCAAUAAUUCAUUGAUUUGGCGGAUAGAUUGCAAUACUGAAUUAAACAUUUAUAAUUCUCUUUCUCAUUUAAUGAACUACCUAAAGUUACAAU